AACGAACGCUGGCGGCGUGCCUAACACAUGCCAGUCGAACGAGAAAGGGGCUUCGGCUCCGAGUAAAGUGGCGCACGGGUGAGUAACACGUGGGUAACCUGCCUCUAAGAUUGGGAUAACUCGUCGAAAGAUGAGCUAAUACCGAAUAAGACCACAGUUCCCGCGGGAACAGGGGUCAAAGGUAGCCUCUGCUUGCAAGCUAUCACUUAGAGAUGGGCCUGCGCACCAUUAGCUAGUUGGUAGGGUAACGGCCUACCAAGGCAAAGAUGGUUAGCUGGUCUGAGAGGAUGAUCAGCCACACUGGAACUGAGACACGGUCCAGACUCCUACGGGAGGCAGCAGUGGGGAAUAUUGCGCAAUGGGCGAAAGCUUGACGCAGCAACGCCGCGGGAGGGAUGAAGGCCUUCGGGUCGUAAAGCUCUGUCGGGAGGAACGAAUGCUCCUGAGGUUAACAGCCUCGGGAGGUGACGGUACCUUCAAAGGAAGCACCGGCUAACUCUGUG
rnacentral:rRNA from 1 species